rnacentral:rRNA from 1 species
CCUACGUGUGGCAGCAGUGGGGAAUAUUGCACAAUGGGGGAAACCCUGAUGCAGCGACGCCGCGUGAGUGAAGAAGUAUUUCUGUAUGUAAAGCUCUAUCAGCAGGGAAGAAAAUGACGGUACCUUACUAAGAAGCCCCUGCUAACUGCGUGCCAGCAGCCGCGGUAAGACGUAGGGGGCAAGCGGUAUCCGGGUUUGCUGGGUGUAAAGGGAGCGUAGACGGCAGAGCAAGGCUGAGGUGAAAGCCCGCGGCCCAACUGCGGGACUGCUUUGGAAACUGGCCGGCUAGAGUGCGGGAGAGGUAAGCGGAAUUCGUAGUGUAGCGGUGAAAUGCGUAGAUAUUAGGAGGAACACCAGUGGCGAAGGCGGCUUACUGGACAGUAACUGACGUUGAGGCUCGAAAGCGUGGGGAGCAAACAGGAUUAGAUACCCGAGUAGUC